ACACUCCUGCGGGAGGCAGCAGUGGGGAAUUUUGGACAAUGGGGGCAACCCUGAUCCAGCAAUGCCGCGUGAGUGAAGAAGGCCUUCGGGUUGUAAAGCUCUUUUGUCAGGGAAGAAACGGUGGUGGCGAAUAACUACUACUAAUGACGGUACCUGAAGAAUAAGCACCGGCUAACUACGUGCCAGCAGCCGCGGUAAUACGUAGGGUGCAAGCGUUAAUCGGAAUUACUGGGCGUAAAGCGUGCGCAGGCGGUUGUGUAAGUCAGAUGUGAAAUCCCCGGGCUCAACCUGGGAAUUGCAUUUGAGACUGCACGGCUAGAGUGUGUCAGAGGGGGGUAGAAUUCCACGUGUAGCAGUGAAAUGCGUAGAUAUGUGGAGGAAUACCGAUGGCGAAGGCAGCCCCCUGGGAUAACACUGACGCUCAUGCACGAAAGCGUGGGGAGCAAACAGGAUUAGAAACCCUAGGAGGCCCAUG
rnacentral:rRNA from 1 species